GUGGAUUAGAUACCCUGGUAGUCCACGCUGUAAACGAUGGGUACUAGGUGUUCGGGGUAUUGACCCCCUGAGUGCCGCAGCUAACGCAUUAAGUACCCCGCCUGGGGACUACGGCCGCAAGGUUAAAACUCAAAGGAAUUGACGGGGGCCCGCACAAGCGGUGGAGCAUGCUGUUCAAUUCGACGCAACGCGAAGAACCUUACCUGGGCUAGACAACGGCGGACCGCCUGGGAAACCAGGCUUUCCCUUCGGGGACUGCCGGUUCAGGUGUUGCACGGUUGUCGCCAGCU
rnacentral:rRNA from 1 species